rnacentral:rRNA from 1 species
UUGGAGGGCAAGUCUGGUGCCAGCAGCCGCGGUAAUUCCAGCUCCAAUAGCGUAUAUUAAAGUUGUUGCAGUUAAAAAGCUCGUAGUUGAAUUUCGGGAUCAAUUAGUCGGUCGUGCCUCUGGUACGUACUGGUUUUAUUGGUUCCUCCCUUCUAACGAAACAUGAUGUCAUUAAUUUGGUGUCGUGGAGAAUCAGGACUGUUACCUUGAAAAAAUUAGAGUGUUUAUAGCAGGCUAACGCUUGAAUACAUUAGCAUGGAAUAAUGAAAUAGGACGUUCGACCCUAUUUUGUUGGUUUCUAGGAUCGACGUAAUGAUUAAUAGGGAUAGUUGGGGGCAUUAGUAUUCAAUUGUCAGAGGUGAAAUUCUUGGAUUUAUUGAAGACUAACUACUGCGAAAGCAUUUGCCAAGGAUGUUUUCAUUAAUCAAGAACGAAAGUUAGGGGAUCGAAGACGAUCAGAUACCGUCGUAGUCUUAWCCAUAAACUAUGCCGACUAGGGAUCGGAUGAUGUUAAUUUUUUAAUGACUCAUUCGGCGCCUUACGGGAAAC